rnacentral:piRNA from 1 species
UGGACUGGACAUUGUAGCGCUCAGGGCUUC